rnacentral:lncRNA from 1 species
AUUCAGUGUUUGGGUGAAGACGGAGGCGGGUUCUGGACAGACCUACGCUGUCGGGGAGUGUUUACUUCGCCUCCACUUCUGUUCCUCCCCGCCCUGGUGCUGCUCCAGGUCACAUACUCUUCCUGAGCCGGCUUCAGCCUCUCCGCGCAGAAGUCUCCCGGAGCCAUGGCCUAGUAUUCUUAUGUGAAGUCUACCAAGCUUGUGCUCAAGGGAACCGAGGUGAAGAGCUGGGUCCUGCAGCUCCGGCGGGAGCCUCCUCAGUUCUUUUCGGACGCACUCCACCCCCGCGAAUCCGGUGGAAGCCGUGAUGCGGAGAGCCGGCUUCGUGGCCUCCCAGGCUUCGCUCUGACCCUGUCUGGGCUGGAUGGAGGCCGGACCGCCCUUCCUGGCGCCUGUGCAGAGAGGGGCAGCCUCCUGCGCGGACGACCCUGGAAACAGGAUAGACGGGCGGGUGACCCGUGACCCCGUACCCACGAGUUUGGGUCCCUUGAGGCAUCUCUCCAGGCCUCUGCCUGAUUUGCCUGAGGUUGACUGUACAUGCAAAUAUUGAGCUUUCCUCCUGGCCUCCGUGAUAAACAGAAGUUUUGAUAUUGUUAGGCGAGAUGGAAAGAAAGUAUCAAGGAGUGAGCUGAAGCCACUGCCCUUGAGAACCCUCUCGAGGAGUCUGGCCUCAUGAAGAUGCCAGAAUAAAUGGCAGUAAGAAGAAAAAGAGCAAAGAUAAGAAGAGAAAAAGAGAAGAUGAAGAAACCCAGCUUGAUAUGUUGGAAUCUGGUGAACAGUAACAAACUUUGGUGAAAUUUCAGGAACCAUAGCCAUUGAAGUGGAUGAGGGAACCUAUAUACAUGCACUCAACAAUGGUCUUUUUACCCUGGGAGCUCCACACAAAGAAGAAUCGCCCUGAAACCUGGCUAUGGAAAAUAUCUUAGUAUAAAUUCAGAUGAACUUGUUGUUGGCGUUCAGAUGCAAUUGGACCAAGAGAACAAUGGGAACCAGUCUUUCAAAAUGGUGCCUGUGCAGCAGUAUUCACUGUGAUAGGAAGUGAGAAGCAGUCUGAGUGUUCAUUGCUGAGGGAAUCAAGGGCAAAAUAUCAUGGAUGCACUCAUGGACAAAUAAGCAGCAGUUUGAAGCAACACCCUAGAUGGAUGUACAGCCAUCAAGAGGAUCUUAAAGUGUGGUCUUUAGUGGAAAAAAAGCUUAUUUUGGGAGAGGCCAGCUGCCAUGUCAUGAAGACACUCAAGAAGCCCUGUGAAGAGGAAGCAAGGCCUGCCAACAACAGCCAGCACCAACUUUCCAGCCAAGGGAUUGAGCCAUCUCACAGUGGAUCCUCCAGCCCCCACCAAGCCUUCAUAUGACCAAACCAAUACCAACAUGUAACUGUGACCUCAUGUGAGUCCCCAAGCCAGAAUACCCAUCUCCUGUCUCAGAAAUGAUGAGAAAUAAUAAAUAUAUGUGCUCACACACAUUACCAUCUAA